rnacentral:lncRNA from 1 species
AACCUGAAAGCUGGUUAUAAUCCAAAAUCAAUUUCCUCAAGGAGGAAAGAUUUCCAAUCAUGACAGGAAUCUGCCCUUGUAGUUUAUUGUUAUCCAACCUCAAGAUUUCUAGCUUUGGAAAAUAGCAUAAAGAUGAUGGGAUUUCGCCUGUGAAGUUGUUACCAUAUAGAAACAAGCUUUGAAGUUGAGUAAGGGAAUCAAACCAUGAUGGGAUUUCCCCACUGAUGUUGUUGUUGCCAAAGUUUAUGUACUUCAACCGACGCAAAUUAGCCAAUUGGAUGGGUAAUGAGCCAUGAAAACUAUUGUUCUCAAUGCUGAGCAAGGAAAGGAAAGAUAGAUUUCCCAAGUGAGGUGGGAUGGUACCUACCAGACCCAUGCCUGAAAGAUUCAGAGCUGUGACCCUAAGGUGCCGGGAUCCGCAAGUUACACCAAUCCAGUUGCAAACUGAGGUAGCAGUAGACCAAUUGGUUUUUAACUGGCUUUGAAGGCCAAAAGUUACAUGGGAUUUCAAUGCAAAAAGAGAAGAUUGGUCUGUGGUGAUGUUGGGUGAUUCCACAGACAAAGAAUAAGUAACAAAAUUAUGAAACAGAAGCACAAUUACAAGAGGGAAGAAGAAGCGAGUAUUCCUCAUGAUAUUACGUGGGUUGAUGAAGAAUUGGAAAUAAUGGAAACUAUUGGGGCAAUUGAACUUGGUCAUGAAUUCAUUAAAUACUGGCAAAUUCGACCGAGAAGACCUCGUCUGGAUGUGUCAAUUGCGUCUUAGUCCAAAUAUUAUGACUUCCAUUUUUCUCCAACUUCGAGUAAUUGCCCUCUUUUUUUUUUUUUUGGUUAUAUAUAUAUAUAUAUAUAUAUAUAUAUAAUAGCUUAGCUUUAAGAGAAUUCAACGUUUCAUGCAUCCACCACGAAUCUACAACUACAACUUGCUUGUGAAAGAUAUGGAUCUAGUUGAAAGACAAUGUAAACUAUAGCAUUUCAACUUCCAUGCACGUUUCUUUUCUUAUUUUUAUUUUUUUUUUAGAAAAAAAAAAUUGUAAUUUGAACCCAAACUUAUUUUAUGUCACCUAUCACUGAUUGAAUGAAUCAACUUAAUUAAAUUUUAAAUUUUUCUCAAAUUUUCUCUUCUUUUGGUUUGGUAGACUUGUGACUUUUUCUAAAUAAGAAAAGCAAAAUCUAAAACUUGCACGGUUGCAUUGAGGUACGGCAGCAACCUUGAAAUUUCGUCGAAUUAAUGACAAGUCCGUGAGAGGAGAAAAAAUGAAGAUGGAACAUUAUUAUUGUUAACCGUCUCCUUUACUUCAUAUUCACACCAUCAGCGUCUUAUACACGACUUGCCCCUAGCUAGCGGCUUCUAAUUUGCUAUGUCACCAAUUAGUCAAUACAAUCUAACCUGCCACAAUCUGUUUGGUCCAGUAAUGGACCACGUCAUCCAUGUCAAUUCCACAUAUAUCAUUGAUGUUCAUUAUUGCCGUGUGUAAGUAUUCAUUUGUCCAUCUCGAUGCCACGUUAAUGCCUUAUUGCUAUAUGACAGCCUCUCAUUAUUGACGACCAAUGGGCUACCUCGUCGUCUUCAUGAUGGGCAUAGCCUUGAAUGCAAUCUGGCCACCAGAUUCGAACCAGAAUGGAGUAAAGAACCAAGGUAUAUUUUAAUAUUUUCGGGGUUUAUUUUAAACAAGAAAAGCAUCAACAAUUGCUUCUUCAUUAAGCCUAUGCAAUGUGCUUUAAAACUUGACUUUGAUCUUCUUUAGCUUCAUACCAAUUUCUCUCAUAGCAAGUCUCUCAUUUUUUUUUUAUGCUGUAAAGACGUGAAAGUGACAUCAUUUCUUACAUAAAGAGUUUACAUAAAUUUCAUUUCAUGAAAUUUUUUGUUAAAAAUAAAUAAAUUAAAAUUAAAAAAUUAAAAAAUCUCAUCGUAUAAAUGAAAUAUGUAAAAUUUAAAUAUAUUUAAAUAUAUUUUUUAAAUAAAUAUUUUUAGUAAAAAUAUUUAUAGAGUUAUCGUUAAAUAAAUACAGAGUAAAUAUAAAUAAUAAAUAAUUUUUUAAUAAUUUUGUAUAUAUUAUUAAUUUUUGCAUUAAAUUUUAUUAAUUUAUUGAUUUAAAUUUUUUAUUAAAUGUUUAUUUAUUUACUUUUAAUAAAAAAAUUUUACAAACUUUACCUAUAAAUGUAAAUUUUGUUAUAUUUAGACAGCAGCCCUUCUCUAGUAUAAACCAUCUAACAUGUGACAAAUAAGGCCCAUAGCCUAAUAUUUUGACUUUUCAAUUUCUUUCUAUGGUCAAGUGACUUUUUUCUAGAUUAACAAACGACGCAGGGAGAGAGUGGUGAAAAAAAAUGGUAAAAAGAAGGUCACACAAUAAUUUUUUUUAAAAAUUAAAAUAAUAAUUAAGUGAGAUUAUUAUUAUUAUAUAAAAAGGAGAUAAAAAUUUUUGGGAGAUCGUGACCUUGCUUCCUUCUAACUCAACCUUGAUUGGAGACAAAAUAAUAUAUAUAUAGCAAGUGCAAAAUUUUAAGUAUGGCUUUAAGUAGGAUUUUUUGAAGAACAAAUAUACAUUAAUGCUUAUUAAAAUUAAAAUUUAACUUAAUUAAUUUUUAUAAUCAUUCUAAAGAUAGAACCCCUUUUAUUUAGCACAAUCACUUUGCAAAUAUGAAUUAACCUACUACUUGUCUAGAUGAGUCUAAAUAUUUAUUAUUAAGAGUAUUUUUAAGUUUAAAAGAUAAAAUGAUAUUUUUCUUACUUAAAAUUAUUAGUAGAUAAUUAGAGCAUUUUUUACUAUUAGAUCGAUCUGAUAUAUCAAAUCAAUUUAAGCCUACAAUGCCACGUUAGCUUGACCACCUUAUUAGUGUAUCUAACGGAUCUCUCUAAAUGUUAAUUUAUCAAUCCCUAAGUGAAUGAUCAACUUUUAAGUGAAUUAUGUCUCCCAAGUCAUCCCUGACCCUAGGGCUAAUCUCGAGUAGCCCAAACUACCCAAAACCUUUUACUUUUCAGGUGUAAAUAGGAUUAUUCAGGUAUCAUUUAUUUAUCUUCACUAUCUUGCUUUUUUUUUACUUUUUCAUAUUCCUCUUCCUACUUACCUUCUUGAGCAAUAUUUGGUUUGAGCAUCGGAGCACAAAUAUUGAAACCUUAUUCAACAUUUGUCUUAAUCGCUUUCUUUCUUUUUUUUCUUUGAUUUUAAGGUUUUAUACCUAGCAGUUCAGCUUAGCACAAAUACUUAUAAUGAUUCUACAAAUAAUAACAAACCCUGAAAUUUCUUAGAAGCAAUAAAAGUUCUUACAAUUUCCUUUCAUUCUAUGGAAAAGAAAAUGAGGUUUAGGAAGAUGACCUUUUUUUUUCAGUCUUUUCACAACAAAUUUUGGCAUAAUUAUUUCAUAUAUAUAAACCUUAGCUAUUGUUCCUAAAAGUUUAAAAGAAAAACAUUCUUAUAUGAUCUUUUAUAUAAUUCUUUUUUUUUUUGGAUGGUUAAUGUUUGUUACCUAUAAGUUGCUCUUUUUUUUAACUAAUUUUUUACAUUUAAUAAUAGUUUUUAAAAUUUUAAAUUUUUUAAAGGUGGGUCCACUUUAUACAAUUUUCUUACAUUUUUUCUUUUUAUUUUCUUUUAUAUUUUUAGAUUUUUUAAAAAUAUUUUUAAAAUUUUAAAUUUCUUUUUAUAUGAAACUCACUUGAUACUAAAGGGAUAUCAAGUAUUUGUGUUUUCUUUUUUUUUUUUUUACUUUUCCAUUUAUCUAUUAAUUUUCUUAUUUUAAAAAUUUAAUAAAUAUUUUCAAGAUUUUAAUUUUUUUUUGUGUGAUCGACUUAAUUCCAAAGAGUUAUCACGUAUCGAGUCAUUUAUUUCCUUUUUAUUUUUUUCUAUUUACUUUUUAUUUCUUUUUUCUUUUUUUACUAUUUAAUAUUUUUUUAUAUUUUAAAUUUUUUUAAAAUGGGGCUCAUUUGAUAUUAUUAAUUAAAUUUUUUUAUUUGAUAAAUUUUUUAAAAAGAUAUUACAAAGAACUCGUCUUCACUUUAGAAUUUACUUUUUGUAUCUUUUUCGAUCUUUUUUUAAAUUCAUGAUAUAAAUAUAUAUUUUAAUAUUCAUUUAAUUUUAUAUUUAUAUAUUAUAUUAAUAAAAUUAUUAUUUAAUUACUUAAUUUAAUAAAUCUCCUCGCCAUUCCAUUUGGCUUCAUUUUUUUUUCCAUCAUUCUUUCAUUUAUACUUUAAAUCUUGUAUAUAUGAAGGUUUUAUGAGGUGAACGUGACACUCCAACGCAUUUCUUUUUUUUCUUUCUUUUUUUUUUGUUUAUUUUUUUCCUUUUUAAUAUCUAAUCAAUAUUUUAUAUUUUUAAAAUUUGUACGUGAGAGAUCCAUUUAAUAUUAUUGAUUAAAAAUGUAUUUUUUUUCUUUUUAUGUGUAAGAUUUAUAUUCUAUGGGUUUUGAUUUAUCUAGAGCUAAUAGGUUUUUUUUAAUUUGAGAUCGAAUUGAGUUUUUUUUUUAAAUAAGAUUUAUGCGAGUGUAGGGUUUAGGAUAGAAUUUAAUAAACAUACUUUAUUGAUACAUAAUUAAAAUGUAACACAUCCAUCCAUUAUAUGAAAUUUACCCAUUUUGAUUUUUAUUUUAUCCACAUUUAAACUUUUUUUUUUUAGUUUAGAUAAAUUUUGUGAAAAAAUUCAAUAAAGUUUUUUAGGUGACAUCCUAAUUGAGUUUUUCUUUUACUUUUUUUAAUUAGAUAAAUAUUAUAAGAAAAUAAGUCAAUAAAUAAGUAUCACAAAACAAUUUAUAUCCAAUGGAUUUCGAUCUAACCUAGUAGGUUGAUUUUUUCUUUUUCUUUUUUUUUACUUUUUACUUUUUUGCUUCUUUCAUUUAUUUUUUAAUUAUAUAAAUUUUGUAAUAAAUAAUGUCAACGAAGGUGUUGGCAUAGCACUCCCUUUUGUUUUUUUUUUUAUAAUUUUUAUUUUUAUUAAAGAAAUUUUACAACAAAUGAGCCAAUUGAUAAGGAUAGCAAAACAAUCAAUAUCCUAUAUAUUUUAAUCGUUCUUGAUUUAAUAUGGAUAUUUUUGUAAAAAUUUGUAUCGAUCAAGUCAGACCAAUUUUUUAUUUAGGAAAGUAGGGAUGGGUCACAAGUAGAUUUAGGACAUUCUGCCUCAAACCAUCUCAUAAUAUAAAAGUAUAUAUUUUAUUAUAUAUUUAAUUUUAUACUUAUAUAUAUUUUGUUAGAAAAAAUUAUAAGGCUAAGAACACCAAACAAUACAAAUUUGAUGUAUUAUAUUAAUAAAAUUAUUAUUUUGUAUUUUAAUUUUAGAUAUUAACGUUUUAAACUCAAUUAGAAUGGUUCCACUUAUCUCUCUUUUCUUUUCUUUUUCUUUUUAAUUAAUAAAGUUAUUAUUUAAUAUCUUAAUUUAAAAUAUUAACAUUGAAAACUCAAUUAAAAUAUUCAUGUGAUACCCUAAUGAGUUUUUUUUUCCAUUUUUUUAUGUUUUCUUUAAUUAAAUUAAUUUUAUGACAAAUGAGGUAAAUGAAAGUGUCAACGGGAUACCUCCAUUUUUUUUUAAUUUUUUAAUUAGAUAAAUUUUAUAAUAAAAAAUAAUAAUUAAUAAAAAUGUCAAAAUAAUUUAUAUUUGAUAGAUUUUAAUUCAUCCCAAUUCAAUAAGAUAGAGAUUGAUUUGAGAUGGGUCAAAUUUUUUUAUAGAAACAAGAUUGGAGUGAAAACGCAUUUAAGGUGCUCUCUACUAACCUAUUUAGGAAUAUAUAUAAAAAUAUACAUUUAUUGUUAACUUGAUUUUAUAUAUAUUAUAUUAAUAAAAUUAUUAUUUAAUAUUUUAAUUUAAAAAAUUAAAAUUUUAAGCUCAAUAAAAUGUCCAUGUAACAAUCUUUAUGAGUUUUUUUUUUUAAUUUUUUUCUUCUCUUAUUUUUUUCGUUUUUGUCUUUUUAAUUUUUAAUUUUUACUUUUUUUAAUUAAAUAAAUUUUAUAAAAAAAGGACAAUUAAAAUAUUCAUAUACCACCUUUAUUUAGUUUUUUGUUACCUUUUGCUUUUUUUAAUUAAGUAAAUUUUAUAAUAAAAAUAAAUAAAGAUAAUAAAAUAAAAAAAAUUGACCCGAAAUAUCGUACUGUUAUCAUUCUAGUAUUAAUAAAAUUUAUAAUUUCAUUUGACAUUCAUAUCCGCUGAGAAAUAAAAUUAUAAGUAUAAUUAUGAGGGUUGCUCGUACUACAUGAUCGAAAAGAGGACGCCACGUGUGCUGAAUAGAUCUUCAACCAUCCAGCAGAUCCAUCAAUAAAUGCACUAAAACCGUACUGUGUUUGGUGCCUUGUCCUAUCAGCGUCUCUCGACAUCCCACUAGGCCACCGUCAUAUAAAAAUAAUAAUAAUAUAUUAUUUAACCAGAUAUUUAGAAAAACAAAAUAGUUAUAUGGAUGAAGAUUUAUAAUUGUACGGUAUGAUUAAUUUUAAUAAGAUUAAAAAUUAUAAUAAUAAAAAAAUUUAUUACUAUAUUAAUGAGAUUGAAUAUUAUAAUAAUAAAAUUAAAAUUAAUUAUAAAAUAUAUAUUUAGAUGUAAAAAUAAUAGUUGUGGUGAGAUAAAAUAUAAUAAAAAUAAAAAAUGAUUAUUAAAAAUACUAUACUCAAACUUAUUAUUUUUAUUAUUUAUGUAAUUAUAUAUUUUUUUAACUCAUAUUAAUUACAAAAUAUUUAUUUUUUAAUUUAUUCAAUAUUUAUUUGAUUAUAAAUUUUAGUAUUUAUUUAAUUUAUAAUUAUUUAUUAAUUAUUUUAUUAUAUAAUUAUAUAUCAUAUUUUAAUUAUUAUAUUAAAUUAACAAAGUUAUUUUUAAAUUUUAAAUAAAAAUAAAUAAAAUAAAACAAAAAAGAAAAAGGAAAAAGAAAAGGAAAAGGAAAAGGAAAAGGAAAAGAUUUAAAGGUAAAAAAAAAGAAAAAGUUAGGGUUUUAAUUGAAAAAAUAUAUAUAUUUCGUGAGGUUUUUCCCUAGAGCUUUGAGCUCCAAUCGAAAAAAUAACUUCAGCAUGUUGAAAAAGCAACAUAGCCUGUAACUUAAAGGGUAUAAUCUUAGAUGAUCAGUUCAAUUAGAGUGUAUAAUCUUAAUUCACUGACUUUAAUUGAUCAUCCAAAUGGGGUCUUAGAAUGGCUUACAAAAUAUAGUUUAGUUGCUUUUUCUGAUAACAUUCUGAUUAAUAGAAUUUGAUAAUUUUAAAUUUAAAAUCUUUAAAUUUAAAUCAUAAGAUCAGAAAGAGCUGACUCUAAUUACAUAACUUGCAGUCUCUCUACAAUGAUCUGAGAAGGAUUAAAUUUGAUUUUAUAUCUAAGAGAUCAAAAUUCUAAGUAGGCUAACUAUAACCAUUACAGGGAAAUAUUUUUGCAGAGCCAAACCCUGCAAUGGGUAACGCACCACACCCAACUCGUAAUUUCUAUACCUUUUAAUAAUGGUACCAUAACCAUAAACCACCCUUUUUUUUUCUUUUCUAAACUGGGAUUUUACUGCAUUUCAUCAUGACAACAAAAUAAACAAAUAGAGCACAUCUGAGCUUACCAGUACUAUAACAAAGUAGAGAAACCAGUGGCCAUUAAAUCAAACAAAAUCUCCAUUCAUUCAAUAAACUCUCCUUUAUACAAUAAAUUUGGACAUGUCCAUCUACACAUUAUAUCAAAACAUUUUUCUUCACCUUAUAUCUGAUUGUAAUAACAUUUUCAUAUCUAUAUUUCCAUUACAAAGAAUCUGAGUCAGAAGACCAACAAUUUUAGAGCACGAAAUCAAUCAAAGUUGUUCUCAAGUAGUUUUGAGAAGCAUACUUGAUGAAGAAUGUUCUCGAGUCUCAUUUGGGAGAGAUAUUGAUGAAUCAAUCCAUGGUCCAUCCAUAGAUGCGCUUCUUGGUGCCUGACUAUCAUGAGAAAAUAUUGAGACAUUCGUCUGGCUGUCGUGUGAUAGCAACUCAAAGGCUUCAAACCUUGCAUCCUGCUCCGCAUCCUUGCGCUUGAUUAAUGGAGCUUGGACAGGAAUCUUGCCUUUCAUCAUACUUACUGUAGGAAAACACUUAUUUACAGCUAGUUGUAAUCUUAUAAUCUGUAUAUUUAUAUUUAUAUCCUUAAAAUUAAGUAUUUGUAUCCCUAGAAUUAAGGACAAAAAAUUAGGAUAUACAAUCUCUCAAUUAUAGGAUUAGUUUUUAAGAAGAUUUAGUUUCCUAGUUUAACCCCUAGUUAGUUGUAUAUAAACAUAAGGUUCUUUUAUAAUUCUUAAUAAGCAGUUUUUCAAUAUACAUUCAGUUUUCACACUGAUUUAUUUCUUAGUUUUUUCAUAUAAUAUCAGAGCUUUAGGCUCUUCUUGGGAAGCAAAAUUUUCAGCCUUUAUUGCUGACUUUUUUAGGCCUUCAUUGCUGAAUCUUGGUUAGGCCUUCAUUGCCGAAUCCUUUCAAAGAAAGAUAUCACUACCACCCAAUUUGAGGAAAUGUUAACUAAGAAAAUCACUGGAGUACUAUAGAUGUCUCAGAAACAAAGAGAGUUUGACAGGGAAGAGAUUGAAAAGCUGAGAAACUUAUUGAAAAUCCUUGAAAAGCCUACUGUGGUAUGUUAUUUGGGUAAGGUUUUUAGUUCAAGUAAAGCUUCAUGUUCUCAUGGAUUAAAUGUCUCGACUAAGCCUAUUACGAGUUCUUAGGUCAUUGACUCAGGAGCCACAGAACACAUGAUACAUUUCUCACAAAAGUUUAAUACAUAUAACUUGUGUCCUAGUAAUAAAAAAAUUGUUGUUGCAGGUGGUUCACUUACCACAGUGGCAGGAUUAGGAGAUGUUUAAAUUAAUCCCUCGUUUAUUCUAAAAAAUGUUCUUCAUGUUCCUGGAUUGUCUACUAAUCUGAUAUCUAUACAAAAACUUACCAGAGAUAGGAAUUGCAAAGUAACUUUUUAUCCCUCUUAUUGUGAAUUUCAGGAUCAGAGUUCGGGAAAUAUGAUUGGACUUGCUAAAGAGAAGGAUGGACUAUACUAUCUUGAGACAUCAAAUAACACAAGCAAUAUCAAGAAUAUUUUACCUUUUUUAUUUCUUUUUGAAAAAUCUUCCAAUAAAAAUAAAAUCUAGCUUUAUCAUUUUCAUCUUGGACAUCCUUCUUUUGGAACCUUGAGAAACAUGUUUCCUUAUUUGUUCAAAGGAUUAAAUGUUGAAGAUUUUCAUUGUAAUGUUUGUGAACUUGCAAAGCAUAGACGUGUGUCUUUUCCAAUCAGUACAAAAGAAGCUCUACUCCCUUUUACUUGAUUCAUAGUGACAUUUGGGGUCCCUCUACAAUUCCUAAUAUUUUUAGUGCAAGAUGAUUUGUUUCGUUCAUAGAUGAUUGUACUAAGGUCUCUUGGGUUUUUUUUACUUAAAUCUAAAUCAGAUGUGAAUAGUAUAUUUUUAAGCUUCCAAAACAUGAUCCAAAAUCAAUUUGGAGUGAGAAUCAAGAGAUUUAGGUCUAAUAAUACAAGAGACUACUUCAACCAAAGUCUAUCUACCUAUUUCCAAAAAGAGAGGAUUAUUCAUGAGUCAUCUUGUGUUAAUACUCCACAACAUAAUGGAGUGACAAAGAAAAAAAACAGCCAUUUACUAGCCACAACCUGAGCCUUUCUUUUUCAAGCAAAUGUACCUAAAUUUUAUUAGGGGAAAGUUAUUCUCACUGCCAUACAUAUUAUAAAUAGGUUACCUUUAAGGGUUUUGGGAUUUAAAACUCCUAUGGAACUACUCUCACAAUUUUAUCCCAACCUCAAUACCACAAACAAUCUCACACCUAAGAUAUUUGGUUGUACAUCAUUUGUUCAUGUUCACAGUCAUAACAGGGAAAAGUUGGAUCCAAGAGCAAUUUAGUAUAUUUUUGUAGGGUAUUCUUCAACUCAAAAAGGAUAUAAAUGCUAUCAUCCUCUUACCAAAAAAUUUUAUGUGUCCGCGGAUGUCACUUUUGAAGAAAGUAAACCAUUUUUUUUUUCAAUCUUAUGUUCUGGGGGAGACUUUAUUCAUGGAAGAUAAGGAUAAAUAUUUUUUGUUGCUUGAUUUUUUUCCUUCUUCAACAUUUACACCCAUUAAUUCUUCUGAGUCGAAACUUGUUUCUGCUGAGCCCAAUUCAAACACUAAAUUUGAGUCUGAACCCAUUCCAAAUACAAAAGAUGUGACAAAGGAUAAUAUUAUUUUUAAUUUUAUGAAGGAAUUACAGGUGUACUCAAGAAGAAAAGUUUCAGAUCCUGAACCAGUGCCAGUCCAAAAACCUGAUCUUAACUCUGAAAAUGAGAUAACUACAGUUUUUGACUCUGUUUCUCAAAAUGAGCAUGAAUCUCCUAAAACUAUAACUAGUGAUUAUGAUCUGCCUAUUGCCAUUAGAAAAGGAACCAAAGAAUGUACUAAGCAUCCACUAUACCCAAUCUCUAAUUUUGUGUCAUUUGAAAAUUUUUCACUAUCUCACAAAAAUUUUCUUGUGAGCCUAAACACUAUUUCUGUUCCAACUACAUUAUCCGAGGCAUUAUCCAGUGAAAAAUAGAGGCAAGCCAUGAAAAUAGAAAUGGAGGCCUUAGAGAAAAAUCAGACAUGGGAACUGGUAGAGUUGCCUAAAGAAAAAAAAUCAGUGGGGUGUAAAUGAGUUUUCACUAUAAAAUACAAAGUAGAUGGUACUGUUGAAAGGUAUAAAGUCAGGUUAGUGGCUAAGGGCUACACUCAAACCUAUGGAGUGGAUUAUUAGGAAAUCUUCACUCCAGUUGCCAUGAUGAAUACAAUUAGGAUUUUGUUAUAAUUGGCUGCAAAUUACAAUUGGCAACUUUAACAAUUUGAUGUAAAGAAUACUUUUCUACAUGGUGAUUUGGAAGAAGAAAUAUAUAUGAAGGUUCCACCGAGAUUUAGAGGUCAUCUAGAAGCAAACAAAGUAUGCAGGCUAAAAAAGGCUUUAUAUGGCCUUAAACAGCCUUCUAAGGCUUAGUUCGAAAGAUUUACCAAAGUGAUGCUAGCAAUGGGAUAUAAACAGAGUCAAGGAGAUCACAUAUUGUUUAUCAAGCACUUUGAUUUAGGGAGAGUCACAGUUUUAUUAGUGUAUGUUGAUGAUAUAAAUGUAACUGAAGAUGAUGAAAAAGAGAAAGAAUCUCUAAAACAGUGUUUAGCUAGAGAAUUUAAGAUAAAAGAGCUAGAAAGAUUGAAAUACUUCCCAGAAAUUGAAGUAGCUUACUCACGACAUGGUAUCUUAUCUCACAACAGAAAUAUGUGAUAGAUCUUCUGAAAAAAAUUGGAAAACUCGCAUGUAAACCUACAAAUACCCCUAUAGAUCCUAAUCAUAAAAUUGAAAAAGCUAAUGAAGAUGAUGUUGUAAACAGAGAGAUGUACCAAAGAUUAGUUGGAAGACUCAUUUAUCUCUCACAUACUAAACCUGAAAUAGCAUAUGCUGUGAGUGUAGUAAGUGAAUUUAUGCAUAGUCCUAAGGAAGUGCACUUACAGGCUGUCUACAGUAUAUUACACUAUUUGAAGGCCAAUCCUGAGAGAGGUAUCUUAUUCAAAAGAAAUUCAGAGUUAGUUCUAGAAGCAUAAACAGAUGCUGAUUAUGCAGGUUCAGUAACUGAUAAAAGAUCUAUCUCAGGCUACUGCACUUUCUUAGGUGGUAAUCUUAUAACUUGGAGGAGUAAAAAAUAGAAUGUGAUGGUAAGAUCAAGUGCUAAAGUAGAGUUCAGAGCAAUGACUCAAGAAAUUUGUGAACUACUAUGGUUAAAGAUUAUCCUAGAAGACUUGAAGAUCAAGUGAGAUGGAUCAAUGAGACUCUAUUGUGAUAACAAGUCUACAAUAAGCAUUGCACACAAUCCUGUGCAACAUGAUAGAAUAAAACACAUUAAAGUAGAUCGAUAUUUCAUAAAGAAAAAACUAGACAGUGGGUUGAUUUGUACACCUUAUGUAUCAACCAAGGGUCAACUUACAAAUGUGUUGACUAAAAGUCUCAGCAGUGCAACAUUUCAAGAAAUUAUUUCCAAGUUGGGAAUGGAAAAUACCUAUUCACUAGCUUGAAGAAGAGUAUGGAAAAAUACUUAUUUACAGCUAGUUAUAAUCUUGUAAUCUGUAUAUUUAUAUUUGUAUCCCUAAAAUUAAGUAUUUGUAUCCCUAGAAUUAAGGAUAAAAAAUUAAGAUAGACAAUCUCACAAUUAUAAGAUUAGUUUUUUAGAAAGAUUUAGUUUCCUAGUUUAACUCCUAGUUAGUUGUAUAUAAAUCUAAGGUUUUUGUAUAAUUCUUAAUGAGUAAUUUUUUAAUAUACAUUUAGUUUCUACACUGAUUUAUUUCUUAGUUUUUCCAUAACAAAAGACAUGGAUGGCCUUAGAGUGAGAGAUGGAUUGGUGCACAAAAGAGCAAAGUUAAACAUCCUUAAUGCCUCUUCUUUUCAGUUGUUUGAACCGAGACUUGGAUCGAAAAGCUCUAAAAGGUUUCCUUGCUCUUGCAUGACAUAGGCCUACAAUCAUAUUCGGUAAAAAAGUUAGCUAAUGAGUCGAGCAUCGCAUAUUUGCAUAACACGUAAGAAAAACAAAGAAAAAACUAAGUACAAAACCAAAGAUUACACAGUAAAAAUGCAAAAGCUGAUAAAUAGAGCUCACCAAUCAAGGAGAUAAACAAACUCCUCUUUAGGCUUGUAAUUUGUGUUACUCUUCCUACUGUCAAUCUCUAAAAGAACAACACCAAAGCUAUAAACAUCUACUUUGUCUGUCAAGUAACCCCUCAUUGCAUAUUCAGGCGCCAUGUAACCUCUGGAUAACAAAAAGACACAGAAAAUGUUGAAUAUAGGAGUAGAGAAUCAGAAACCUCAAAGCAGCAUCAGAUAAUAGUACCCCAGUCAAAGUUUGACAUAUUACAAAUAAUUCACAUCAUACUACUAAUCCAUCUGCUAAUUCCCUAAUGCCAUCUUUUUUUAUUGGAACAAAAGAGACCGCAGCUUGGGAUAGGGAAAAGAGUUGUGCAAGUGCUGAGAUUUGAGCCUCAGACCAAAUAUCACCUCUUAAAAGUGAUUAAACGAACCCGCUGAGUUAAACCUCUCUUUUUACCAAAAGCUGAUAUAUAUAUACAUAUAUAUUUAUUUUAUGGACUAAACAUCAACAGAAAUGUCUUUAUGAGAAUAGAUAACUUUUUCUCCAUAUUUAUCAAAAAGAGAAAAAACUCUUCAAGCCCAUAUUUCAAUAUUUAAUCAAUUAUAACAGAAAAAUAAAAAACUUUAAAAGAUUCAGGAAGGGAGAGAGAGAGAGAGAGAUAAGGGGAAGAGACUCAUAUUGUUUCAGUUAUUCUUAUGCUGAUAUGGGUGUUCUCUUUUUCAUCGAGUUUUGCUAAUCCAAAUUCAGAUAUCUUAGCAUUGAGAUCCUUAUCAAGUAACGCAUUUGUUGCCUUAAUAUCUCUGUGAACAAUCUUCAGUCUUGACUUCUCAUGAAGAUAAGCUAGACCUUGCGCUAUUCCCAAGCAUAUUUUCGUUCUUGUUGACCACUCCAAUAUAAGACGUUGGUCAUUACGACCUGGAAAGAAUGAUUGAAAAAAGAAGAGAUUGUUAGUCAUCAUUAUCAAUCUAGAACUACUGUUAGAUGUUAUCUAAUAUGGUAAUGAAACAAUUACCAAAAAGUUCAUGAGCAAGAUUGUUGUUUUCCAAGUACUCGUAUGUCAGCAACAGCUGAUUUCCUUCAAUACAACAGCCAAAAAGCUUCAUAAGAUUUAGGUGUUGUAAUGUAGAAAUCAUCCUUCUCUCAUUCACGAAUUCACGAUUUCCUUGCUUAGAUUUAGAGGAUAGCUGUUUAACUGCAAUUAUUGUACCAUCUGAUAAUACACCCUACAAACAAGCAGAUUAAAAUUUAAGAAAAGUUUAAAAAAUAAUCUCUUCUCCCUUUUAGUACUAAGAUUGCAUGUCAUAAAAUAGACACUUCAUCAGUAUCUGAGUACUAUAACCAUUAGGCUUCCAAUCUUAGACUAAAAUGACAACAAUUAUUACCUUGUAUAUUGGACCAAAUCAUCAUUUGCCAAUCUUAUUUGCAGAAUCAAAAUUAUUGUUAGCCGCCUUAAUUUAUCUUAAUUGAAAUAGCCAGACUGAAGUUUUAGCCCAUGAAGUUCUGUAAUAUGAACAGAUAAAAAAAUUUAACCCAUCAUAGAGAAAAACAUAAACAAUAACAUAUUUUACUCUUUUUUUUUAUCCUAAGAAAGUAAUAAUCAAAGGCAAAGAUAAUUGUUAUGCAAAUAUUUCUUGUAUUUAUGGCUUUACCAUUGUUUUCAUCAUCUUUGUCUCCCAAGUAACCUUUCAGUCUGAGGAUGAUCAAUAGCAAAAUGACAAUCACACAUGAGUCAAUUACAAUAGAAGCAAUGGCUCCAGCUGAUAACCAUUUUUCGGUGUCAAACUUGAAGUCUAAAGAAGAAAAGCUAAAGUUUAGUAAGGAGCCAAUUCUUCCAUGUGAUAUGGACUUACUAGGAGUUACUGUGGUAACAGAUAUAAGUGGUCCAUAAACCCCUCUGUUGGGAAUGGCAGUGGUUCAUUUCCCUCUCCAGUAUGAGUGAAUCUCCAAAGUACUUCCAUUUAUGUCAACAUUGAAUUCCCUGGUGAUGCCCCUAGCUGAACCACCAGCUUCCUCCAUAAUAUUGAAAUCCUCCAAAACUACUUGUCUCUUGUAGUCAAAUUUAUUGGGCUUAAAGCAAUAAACACAAUAAUGCAUAAGUAAUACAUUGUAAUAAACCCAUAACAAUAGACAACAAUCAAUAAUAAAAAAUAUUAAAAAAAUAAAGUACACCAAGAUUUACAUGAAAAACCUCAAGUAUAGAGAAAAAAAUCACAGACCACUAGAAAAAUCUUCACUAUCAAAUAAUGGAUAUACAAAGUUCUUCUCUAGCUAAAACUAGAGCUAAUCAGCAACUAGAGAGAGACAAUUGGAAAAAUCUCAUCAAAUAGGUGACUCAACAAAUACACCCUUAGAUUUGUUCUUAGAGAGCUUCAAACCCGAUCGUCAUUGUUUAAAAUAUAGAUCUCUGAAUCAUAAACUUGCUAACAAAAUUUUAGCUCAAUCGGACUAUGGAUCAACUUUCGUUCAACUAACUCUCCCUUCUUCAUUCUCUUUUUAUUUUUUUGGCUUUUUUUCUUUCUCUUCUUGGUUUUGGACACCACCUUAAAAAAACCCCACCUCUUUUUAUUAAGUAGCUAGGGCAUUGUGUAAAAAGAAAGACCAAGGCCCAUGGCCUUUGAUUGGUCCAAAACCAAUUACAUAGGGCUAGACCCCAUUUUCCUAGUAAUCUCCCUCUCUAGCCCCAUUAAGAGGAGAUUCAUCACUAUAAUAGUUUCAUUUGGAACUUACCUUAGCCAAGGAACUCAUUUCGGCCAAGUUACUAUAGAGUUCAAGCUUCUCCCUGAAAAGUAUCUUAGUCAACAUAUUUGCUACAUUCUUAUCAGUAUGAACUUUUUUCAAUAGCAUAUGUUGUUCCUCAAUCACUGAACAUAACUAGUGAUAUCUAACAUAAUGUGCUUCGUUCUAGCAUGGUAUAUGGCAUUCUUACUCAAAUCUAAAGCAUUUUGGUUAUCACAAAACAUCACAUACUCUUUCUGAUUCAACCCUAAUUCAAGAAGAAAAUAUUUUAUCCAAAGCAUUUCUUUACUUGCUUCAAUUGCUGCAAUAUACUCAGCUUCUAUAGUUGAUAAAGUAACACACUUCUGUAGCUUAGACUACCAAGACACAGCUUCUCCUGCAAAAGUGAAUAAAUACCCUAAAUAUAGAUUUUCUACUAUCAAGAUCACCUACCAUGUCAACAUCAAUAAACCCUUUUAGAACUGGUUGUAAAACUUCAUAACUUAAGCACAUUUUUGAAGUGCCCCUCAAAUAUCUGAAAAUCCAUUUCACUGCUUCCUAAUGAACCUUUCUUGGAUUAAAAAGAAAUCUGCUCACUACACCAACUACAUGAGCAAUAUUAGGCCGUGUACAAACCAUAAAAUAUAUUAAAUAAUUGAUUGCAAAAGAAUAAGGAAUAUUAGACAUAGCUAGUUACUCUUCCUUAAACACCGGACAAGAUUUAUUACUCAAAUGAAAAUAGUUGGCAAGUGGACUGCUAACUAAUUUAACAUGUUGCAUGUUAAAUCUACCAAGCUUUUUUUAUGACAACCACAGCUUUCCAACUCUCAUAUCCAGGAUAAUGUCCAUAUCAAGAAUUUGCUUUGCUGGACCAAAAUUCUCCAUGUUAAAAGACUUAGACAAUUAUUCUUUUAACCUACAAACCAUAUCAGCAUCUUAUCCCAUAAUCAACAUAUCAUCAACAUAUAAUAAGAGAAUAAUAAAAUUACCAUCAUGAAACUUUUUUGACAUACACACAAGGAUCCGCUAACGUUCUUUAAUAGCUGUGACUCACCAUAAAAAAAUCAAACUUUUUGUGCCAUUGUCGCGGAGCUUGUUUCAAGCCAUACAAGCUUUUCUUCAAUUUACAAACUAAGUGCUCUUUUCCUUUCACUUCAAAACCCUCAGGUUGAUUCAUAUAAAUGUCAUUCUAUAAGUCACCAUGUAAGAAUGCAGUUUUAACAUCAAGUUGCUCAAGCUCAAUAUUCAAACUAGCUGUUAAUCCCAUCACCACUCGAAUGAAACUCAUUUUCACAACUGGAGAGAAGAUUUCAUCAAAAUCGAUGUCAGGUUUCUGAAAAAAAAAGGCUUUUACCACUAAUCGAGCUUUGUACCUUACUAGUUUGUCACCAUCCUUUGUUAACUUAAAUACCAAUUUAUUUUUCAAUGGUCUCUUUCCUUUUAAAAGUUUAACAAGAUCAUAAGUAUCAUUUUUUAGCAAUGACUCCAUCUUUUCUUUCAUUACUUUUAAGUAGUGCUCUUUAGCUGGAGUAGUUUGCACAUCUUGAAAGCUUUCUAGCUCCCUCUCAUUAGUAACUAAAAUAAAAUUUAAACUUGGAUACUUAGUAGAUGGCAUAUGCUCUCUAAUAGAUCUUCUGGACUAAAACUCUACACCACCUUAUGCCGAAGGUAGCUUUCCCUGCUCAACACUCUCAAGUAGAAAGGAUUGCUCUCUCUACUCAAAACUAAUUGCAUUUGGCUCAUCACUAAUUGUGGUUAGCUUAUUUAUAUCCCUAAGUUCUGUUUCUUGCUCAUUUUUACCAUCUGUGGCUUUUUCUUGUAAAACCUUUGUCGGUGUUAAAAUGUCACACUCAACAGUAACUCGUGUAGUCUUCUCAUUUUUCUUAAGGUCUGCUAUGAUUUUUUUUCAUGAUAGACCACAUCUCUACUUUUGACUGUCUUUCUUUUCAUUGGAUCUCAUACCCUGUAGUCAAAUUUCUUAUCACCAUAUCCCACAAACAUACACUAUGUGGCUUUACUAUCAAAUUUUGACCUCUAUUCUUUCAGCAUAUGCAUGAAUGCUUUAUACUCGAAAACUUUCAAAUGAGAGUAUGAAGCAUCUUUCCCUGUACAUACUCUUUUUAGAACGUCAAAGCCCAUAAGAACUUAUGUUGAUCUGCUAAACAAAUAACAAGUUAUGUUGACUACUUCACUCAGAAUGGCUUUGGUAAUUUUGUCAUCCUCAAUAUGCUUCUAACUUUUUUCAUAAUAGUGCAGUUCAUCCUUUCAGCUACACCAUUAUGCUACGAUGUUCCACAUUCUGUCAUCUCAUAUUUGAUCUCAUACUUUAAACAAUACUCUUCAAAGUCUUUAGAUGUGUAUUCUCCACUAUUAUCAGUCCAAAUAAACUUCAAGGAUAAUCCUAUGAUUUUUUCCAUCAUAACAUGAAAAUUUUAAAAAUACUGUAAUACCUGACUUUUAUUUUUCAACAUAUCCACCCAAGUCUUACGUGAAGCAUCAUCAAUAAAAGUAAUAAAAUACUUGUUACCUCCUAAUGACUCAACUUCAAUAGGACCACAUACAUCAGAAUAAAUCAAUUCUAAUCUAUUUUCUUUUCUCUCAGAACUCUUACGAAAAGAAACUCUAGGAUGCUUAAUAAAUAAACAGUAAUCACAUAAAUCGAGAGACAUACCUUUGGUCAAUGGAAUGAGAGAUUACUUUGCCAAAACUUGUAACCCUUUCUCACUCAUAUGUGCUAGCCUUUUGUGUCACAAGUUUACUGAAGCAUCAUCCUCAAUGGUAUUUACUUUGUUACCGUUCAAUUGCAUCCAUGUCUUAUACAUUAUGCAGCAAGGUUUUCCCUUGUAACUACCAUAAAUCUUUUAAAAAGCUUCCACUACCCAUUUUUUUUGUCGACUCUCAUAUCCCUCUUUAUUAAGGACAUUAAUGGCAAGCAAGUUCAUUCUUAUAUCUAGAAUGUGUCUGACAUCCCUCAAAGUUAACAUGUAGUCUGUACUAAUUUGUACAACAAUAUCACCAAUCCCAAGAAUCUAUGACACACUCUUGUUUCUCAACUUGGUACAACUAAAGUCUCUUGCUUUGUAAAUUGUAAACAACUCUCUCUUAGGAAUACAAUGAUAUAUCGCUCCUAUGUCAACUAUCCACUAAAUGUCGAGAUCACUAACAUGAUUACAAUCACUAUGUGUACAAAUCAAAGUAACUGAAUCACUAUCUAAAUUCACUGCUACAAUAUUGCCAUCAUCUGAACUCUUAUUUUUCUCAUCUUUUCACUCUUACUUCAAGAUUUUACAAUGUCAUUUUAUAUGACCUAUUUUACCACCAUGGAAACAUUUCAUUUAAUCUUUGGACUUGGAUUUAUAUUUAGACUUACUACGGCCUUUUGAGUUUUGACCUUUGUCGAUGUUUAUACCCCUAUUUUUUGUGACUAAAGCUUGAUUUUUAGGGUCUACAUUUUUUCAUCUUACUUCUUCAUUAAGCAUACUAUCUUUUACUAUCUCCAAUGUCAUCAUAUAAUCAAGAGCUGAAUUAAGAACAGUUAUAACUAGAGUAUUUCAGUUGUCUAGCAAUGAACCUAAAAAAAUAAUUUUUUUAUUUCAUCAUCCACUUAAGCUCUAUAGUAAUCCUCUGAUUAAAUAUAUCUUAAAAAUCACUCAAGUGCUCUGUAAUAAAUUGUCCAUCCUUAUAUUGUAAAAUUGUAAGCUUUUUAACAAGCAUAGUUUUAUUCAUACCUAUUUUUUUUUCAAACAAUGCUACCAAUUUUUUUCAAACAGUGUGGGCAUCUAUCUCCUACACUACAUGAUGGAAUACGUUGAUAUCAACCCAUUAACUGAUUGUAGCUAACAUCUUUCUGCCUAACUUCAUUCAGUUUUCAUCUUUCAUAUCUAUUAGUUUAGCCGAAUCACCUAAUACUGACUCAUACAAAUCUUUGCAAUAUAAAUGAUCUUCCAUCAUAGGCUUUCAAAUUGAAUAAUUUGAUGUUAUCAAUUUUAUCAUGGAUCUUGUAUUACCCUUUAUGAUCUCAAACAAAAUUACUUCUAUCUUAGACUGCUUUUGUAUCGUUGUCUCAAAAUAACCCUCACUCUAAUACCACUUAUUAGGCCUGAAGCAAUAAACACAACAAUGCAUAAGUAAUAUAUUGUAAUAAACUUAUAGUAAUAGACAACAAUCAAUAAUAAAAAUAUAAAAAAAUAAAGUACACCAAGAUUUACAUGAAAAAUCUUCCGGUGUAAAGAAAAAAAAUCACGAACCACCAGAAAAAUUGUCACUAUCAAAUAACGGAUACAAAGUUUUUCUUUAACUAAAACUAGAACUAAUCAACAACUAAAGAGAGAUAAUUAGAGAUACAAUAAUAACCUUGUCAAACCAAGUUCUUUAUUAAUUAUAUUUUCUUAUUUCGAAUUCCGUAUGCUCGUUAUUCCAGCACAAACAAGAUGAAAAGUGCCAUUUCCGACUAAAGUCAAUAUUCAUAAAAAUAAAUCUCAAUUUUCCAAAAGAAAAAAGCGCGUUUCCAAUCUCCAUGAAUUUUCAAGCUUGUUGCAUUGUACAAGAAAAAUUAGGUGCUCAAAUAUAUUAUAAUAUCGCUCAAAGUCUUUCCAAUUAAAGUCAAAAUUAUACAGCUAUUUUUUGCAGUGCGUUAUCUUGACUUAAGAAAACAGUUGAACUUGAAAAUGCUCAAUUUUAACACGAAGUCAAAAAACGGGGAACAAAUUGUCCUCUUUUUAUUAAAAUAAUUUUGAAAACCAGAAAUCACGUUUUCUGCCUCUUAAUUGAUUAAAUGUGUUGAAAUUCCUGUAAGAACUUGAUUUUGAUUUGCUUCAAUCUCGCAGCAACUUCUUUCGUAUCAAUCCUCUCUUCUGGUAAUUCUGCUGAACAUUCCAAAGCUAAUUGCAAAAUGGAUAAUAUACAAUCCUAUGUAGCUAAGCGUUCUCUUUCUGUGGCAUUUAGCAAAUUAGCGUCUGCAACAUGAAUUACCGCAGAUGGUAAUGACUCUUUCACCCAACACUUCAAGCUCUUUUCUUCUCCAAACAUUUCAUCUGUAGGCUUUUUUCUCGUGAAAGUUUCCAUAAGAAGAAUACCAAAACUAUAUAUAUCACCUUUUAUAGAAACAAUUCCUUCUGAUCCAUAUUCUGCAUAAAGAAAUUAAUUUAAAUUCAUCAUUGAUAUUUCGCGAUAAUAAAAAAAAAUUGCUUAAAAUUUUAGAGAUUAUGAAUCUAAUUAAAGGCAUGCACGUUCUAUAAACAUAUAUGAGUACAAAUAUCAUCUAAGAUUGAUAUAAUAAAAUUAAACCAUUAACUGGUGACAUAUAUCCAAUCGUUGCUAGCGUCAUGGUUUGUGUAAUUAAAUCCUCUUCACUUAUGAGUUUUGCAAUGCCAAAAUCACCCAGAUGCGCAAUCAUAUCAUUAUCUAGCAGGACAUUGUUCGGCUUUAAAUCGCAAUGAACCACAGGUGGGGAAUGACCAUGGUGAAGAUGUUCCAAUGCCAACGCGAUGUCUAUCAUUAUGUUCAACCUUUGCGAAACAUCCAAAAAAUGGUUGUGGGAAUAUAGCCACCUCUCCAAGCUUCCAUUCGGCAUGAACUCAAGAACCAAGGCUUUAAAUUCAAUAUUGGAGCAACUACUAAUGAUUUUGACCAAAUUUCGAUGACGAAUGUUGCGAAGGACCUCACACUCAACAGCAAAGCUUCUGAGGGCUCUAUCUAUAUUUACAUUAAAGACUUUUACAGCAAUGUUUAUCCCAUCUGAGAGAGUCCCUUGGUAUACUGACCCAAAACUCCCUACCCCAAUUAAUUUGCUUUCAGAAAAUCCAUCCGUAACUUGAUCUAGCUCAUGGUAAGAAAUUCUUCUCCAUUCUGCCAAUGGUAGCAAAUUUUCUUCAGUGAUUGGCACUUCAGCUUUCCUAUUUCGUAAAAAAAUGAUAACCAUAGCCAAUAUUAAUAUGGCUGAGGCAAUUGCUGGUAGAAUAUAUUUCAAAAGCUCAGUACCCGUCUUAGAGGGAUCAGUUUUGCAAGGUGGAACUUGAAGUCGAGACGAACCACAUAAGGCUUCAUUGCCCAUAAAUGAUUGGCUCGAGUAGUUCACAAAUGAUCCUCCAUUAGGAAUUUCUCCUUGUAGCCUAUUGAAAGAGACAUUCAAAUAGUUUAGAUUUGGGAGCUUCUCUAAGGACUUGGGGAUCAUUCCUGAGAGGUUAUUUCUCGACAAAUCCAAGUAUUCCAAACUUAUCAACUCAUCAAAAGAUUGAGGAAUAGAACCCUGUAGCAUAUUACCAGAUAAGGAGAGAAGAGUUAGAUGUGCGAGAUCAGCAAUGCUGCUUGGGAUAGUACCUGUGAACUGGUUCUCUGACAAAUUCAAAUUAGUCACAGAACUCCACUUUCCAAUAUCAACUGGGAGAGAGCCACUUAGAGAAUUUGAAGCCAAUUCUAGGAACAAGAUACCAUUAAGUCUUGUCAAGGUAGAUGGAAUUGAGGUAAAAUUGUUGGAGCCUAAGAAAAGAUUUCUCAGAGAAACGAUAUUGCCUAAGCAUGCUGGUAUUGGUCCAGAUAGUCUGUUAUCUGUGAGAGUCAAGUAAGCCAGCCUCUCCAGAUGACAUAACUCAAAUGGAAUGGUUCCUUCUAGCUUAUUGCUCCCAAGAUUAACAUUUUGCAGAUCUCUCAAUCCUCCAAUUGUAGUAGGUAUCGGUCCGGUCAAGUUAUUAUGGUCAAAACCUAACCAAACCAAGUUGCUCAAGUUACCAAUUUCACUUGGGAUGUUGCCCUUAAUGUUGCAAUGAGAACCAUAGAAAAGGGUCAGAGAAGCAGAUAGAUUUCCUACAGAAAUUGGAAGUUCACCGCUGACCAAUGGAUUAUCAUCAAAUAUCAACUCGUCCAAGUCUUUGCAGUUUGUCAGUGAUGAGAGGAAGCUCAAUUCACGGGAUGAAGGGUUGCUACUUAGAUUGUUAUGACUUAGGUCGAGGCGUUGUAGAUGUCUUAGAUUGCCAAGCGUGUCAGGAAUGAUUCCAGAAAAGGAAUUAUUCGCCAAUUGGAGUAGAAUAAGCUGAGUGGCAUUGGAGAUGGAGAUCGGGAUUGGUCCACUUAGUUCAUUUAGUGCAAGAUAAAGCCGUUGUAGAUUCGGAACUCCAAGGCCUGUAGUUGAUGGAAGCUGGCCUGAGAAACGAUUCGAAGCAAGCGAAAUGGUCCUUGCAGUUGAGAUGUUAAAGAUUGAAGGAGGGAUGACACCAGUGAAACUAUAAUUUUCCAAGACUAUCAUUUCUAUAUUCUGUAGGUUGCCAAUCUGACUUGGAAGUGUACCUGCCAUAAUUAAUUUCAUUCACAUUAAUUUUAAGGAAAAUGUUAUAUAGCUGGAUAAUCAACCAGAAAUUAUUUGAUGUACUAACGAUGCAGUUUUUUAAUUUCACAAUUAGAGAUAAGGCUGACACAUAUUUCAUUAUUUUGUAAUUAAUUUUUUAAUUUUAUUUUUAAUAUCCUCUAUGGGAUAUGUCUCACUUCUUUUAAUCAGUUAUAUGUUCCUACUUAAUUUAAAUCAUUUUUACUAGAAUUUGUCCAUAUCCACUUAUUAGUGAAAGAGGGCAAAAAAACAGUUUCUCUCGUGUAAAAGAUAGUUUCUGACGUGAUUAUUACUGUGUGUAGAUUUGGUUCAAUAAAUUGGAUUUUUUAAUUAUUUUUUAAAUUAGAGUGCUUGAUUAUCUAGUGAUUUAUUACAUAUAAAUAUAAUACUUGAUUACGAUAAUAAUUUGUAUUUAUAAUUUUAUUAGAACCAAUUUAAAAUGAUACAAUUAAGAAAUUAAAUGAUUAAUAUAACUCUAUUUUUAUAUGUUAUUUAAUUAUGUAAUUAAAGUUUUAGAGUGUAUUUCAUAAAUUAUUGAAAAUCUUUAAGCCAUUGAAAACUAAUUUUUCAAUAAUUUAAUUUUUUAAUGCAUGCAUUUGAUUAUUCAAUUUUUUUUUAGAUGUGUUCAUUCUGUGGCAAACUCAUCACGUUUCCACGAUAAGAAGAAGGUGGUAACAAUUCUCGUGAGCAACCUCCCUGACAAAAUUCAUUGGAAAUGGUUGGAGAAAGUAUGUAAUGAUUUUGGAAAGGUGGUUGAUGUAUUUAUCUAUAGGAAAAAGAUUUUCCUAGUGGAAGUGGGAAAAGAAUCAAAUUUGUGUGAUAUGCUAUCUUUAGAAGAAGCGAUGAAGGUUGUCAGGAAUCUCAAUGCAUUUGGUUUUUGGAAAACAAGAUUGUGGAGACUAACAUUUAAUCUAUAAGGUAUUAUUUAUUUUGAUCUAAAAAUUUUAUAAUUUUAUCCUACAAAAUGUACCUUACAAGUUUGAGUUUAAGCCUUAACUUAUAUAUCAUAGCAGAUCUUCAAAAUAUCUCAAUAUGAGAUUAAGGUAUCACAAACUCCUCUGUUAAAACUUGAUGUUCCUGUCAAGCCUAAUACAAAGCACAGAUAACUAAGAUCACAUCAGACAUUAGGAUUCUAGAGAUGACUCUCAUGAUGUAACACAUAGGUCUCGUCCUAUUGAUGACCUCUUUGAUACUAUUUGUGAAGAUCCGCAUCCAACCUGUGAAGUGUUUUUUAUGAGACAAAAUUGUGAAACCUUUGAGUCAAAGUAGACAAUACCUCGCAAAUUAGGUGAAAAUCUCCAAAAAUGAUAUCAGAGUCAGCUUUGUGAUUCUAUGAAUUUUGGAAUCCUUAUUGUGAUUGAUAUUUAGACACAAGCUUUGAAAAUUUUUUUAAAGGUAAAGUUUGUUGAUGUGGAUAAAAAAAAAUAAUGGCAAAUUUGUAAGUAAUUGAUUUUGGUACGAGUUUUGAUAAAAUAGUAACCUUAAGCCCAAGUUAUUAAAAAGGUUUAUUUUGAUAUUUGGAGAUCCUAUACAUAGAAUUGAGGUUAGAUUUAUGACUUUUAGUGAUUUAUUUGAGUUUUACUUUUGGAUCUUUAAUAAAUCCUUUAGUACAAAUUUUGUGGUAUCUUAGAGUCAAAGUAUGAAAUAUAUAAGUUGUUGUGAGAUGAUAUAUCUGUAAAUGAAGUGACUUUGAUGGGAUUUUGAUAAGUUGGAUAUUAUAUAUCUAAGAGUUAUUAUUAAGAAUGAAAAAAAUCUUUUGAGACAUAUAAUAUUGAAAUCAAAUUCUAGAUGUAUAAAAGUUUUGGAGUUAUGUAUUAUGAACCUUAGAUCAUCGAACUAGUUGUAUUUGCAUGAUAUUAAGUAUGAAAUAUAGGAGUUGACAAGAAUCAAUAUUAGUUAAUUUGAAGUAAUUUCAUAUUGAUAUCUAUGAAAUUUUUAUGGAUAUUGUUAUUAUAUUAUUUUUAAAAUUUGUAUUCUUAGUUAAUUAAAAUUAUAAUGGACAUAAGGAUAAUCACCUAGGCAAGAUUUUGACUUUAGUGAAUAACAUUUAAACUUAAUGACAAGAACUAAUAUUUUGAGCAUUUGUUGAAAUUCGAUCAUUAGAUGUAUAUUUUGGAGUAUUAUGAAAUGUUGUUAGUUAAUUAGUGUGAUUACAUUAUGAUUAUAAGUUUUGAUUGAGGUAGAAUGUAAAUAUCAUUAAAUAGUGUUUAAUAAAGAAUAUCAUUUGUUAUGGUAUAAGACAUAUGCCAUGAUUUUUACGAGAAAACUAAGGUUGUGAUCAUUUAAAGAUAUCAUUAAUGAAGUACAUUUUGAAUGAGUAUUUUGAGUUACGAGAUUAUGUUUUACUAAGAAUAAAUCAUUGUGCAAUAAGUAUACAGGUUAUAUUUGUUAAAGUUCUUUUGUCAAAUUAUUAAUAGUAAUAUACUUGGUUACAAGGAAUUUUUAAACAUUAUGAUGUUAUGAGCUUUGUGAAGAAUUCUCCUAUUAUACGAUAAUUGACCAAUAGAAUUCGAAAGCUAUUAAUAGAUGAAUUUGUAGUUGUAUUGGGUACAAAGAAAUUAUGUUUGAAUUUAUGACACCCUAAUUUCAUAUCAGGAUAUUCAUUAGAUUUGCUAUGAUAUAUAAGUUGAUACUUAAAACCAAAUUUAUGAGGCAACUCUUGUAGGACAAAAUCGUGAUAUUUUCAAGCCAAAGCGAACAAUACCUUGUAGGUUAAGUGUAGGUGAUGUCCCCAUCAAACUCAACACAAAGCAUAUAGAACCACAAAAUUAAGAUUAAACCAAAUAUUAGGAUUCUCAAUGUGGCUUCCACCAUGUAACAUUUAGCACUUGUCCGACUGAUAACCGCUUUAAUAUUAUUUAUGAAGAUCAGUACCUAAGUUGCAAGAUAUUGUCCGCUUUAACCCAAAAGUCUUAUGAUUUUAUCCUACAAAAGGUAACUCAUAAGUUUGAGUGUAACUCUCAACUUAUAUAUCAUAGCAGAUUCUUAAAACAUUUCAAUAUAAAAUUAGGGUGUCACAAAGAUAGGAGUUAAUUUCACUAGGUUUAAUCCUAGAGCUUCUUUUUAACGUAAAGAAAAAGUUAAAAGAGUUGAUGAUGUAAAAAAACAUUCAUGUAAUUGAGACUCAAAGUAUGAAUAAGGGUGUAAAUGGAAAGGUUAGUCAAGGAACAGAUGCAAUGGGAAAUCAAAAUGAAAACCAAGUGGGUAAUCACGAAAGUAUCCAAAGAUCUUAUCUCGAAGCAUUGAUGGAAAGGAAUAAAAAGGAAGAAUCUCUUUCUCCUUGUGAGAAUGGAUUGAUUUCUAAAGAUUAUAAAAAUUAGGUGUAUUUAGAUUGAUUUCUAAAGAUUAUAAAAAUUAGGUGUAUUUAGGUGCUUUGCAAUGAUAAGGUAUGGUAGAUGAGAAAAAACUACACUGGCUAAAAAGAUGUAUUGUUAGACAUAGUAAAAAAUUUAUAGAGGUGGGAAUGUUAUCUGAUUAUAUAUUUAACAAAGGGAUAAAAGGCUGUGUUAUUAGAACAAUCUCUGGUUAUUUGUUCUUAGUAACAUUUGAUAACUAUGGUUAUUCUGAAUGCAUGAAAAGGAAUAAUUGGGCCGGUUUAAGCAAAUGGUUUGAAAAAAUUGAGGUAUGGUUUAAAAAAUUUUCUAUCAAUAGCAAAAGUACUUGGAUUGCCUAUUAUGGUGUCUUAAUCCAUGCAUAGAAUAGGAGUAGUUUCCCAAAUAUUGUUGGCUGUUAAGAGGAGUUUAUGCACAUGGAUGAAAAGACACUAAAGUUUCAUUCUUUUGAUAAAGGUCUCAUGCAGAUUAUUAUAGACUCAUCAUCCAAAAUUGAAGGUAUAAUCCAAUUAAAGGUGGGUGAUAAGUUAUAUAAUGUUAGAGUCUUAGAAGUUGAAUUCAAUAUUAAAAAAUGGAUGAGUCACAAAUAUGCCAAAAUUAUGGAUCAUAAUAAUGGCUAAAGUAAAAAAGAACUUCAUGAAAAAGGUAACUUAGAAGAAGUUGAAGAGGUGUUGUCUAGUAUAAAAACGAAAAAAUGUGAAAAAAGGGUAAAGAGUGUGGGUAAUAAUGAUCACCUAUCUAGAGCUCAAGGAAAUGGUGUGAAAACAAAAUGUCUCUUGAUAAUGGUAAAACUCAAAAUAGGGACUCCAAAAGGACCAAUAAAAAAGAAUGUGAAUUCUUAGGCACAAGUAGGGGGAUAUUAAAUGAGAACAUAAUAGGUAAUGUAGAGAAUGUUAAGAUGGUGAAUAGUGAAAAUAAAAAGGCUACCAAUAUUGGACCUAUAAUUAUGGAUAACAAAGACUUUUUUUUUUUAUGAAAAAAAUAGCAAGAAGUUUGAGAACUUGGGCCUUGACAAAGAUAGCUUGGUUCAACUCAAUAUAGUGAUAGAGCCUCUGUCAUCCUUUGUAGCUAAAACAGAAGAUUUAGAAACAAAAAGAAGAGACAUAAAGUAUAAAGUUAAGGCAAAAAAAUUAUGUUUAUAUGAAGAGAUAGAGAAGAGAUUGAUGGGCAAAAUUAAUAAGAAAAAGAGAGAGAUUUCGAAAAAGAGUAAAAGAAAGGGCACCAAAAGUAAAAGGCCAAAAGGAAAUGAUUUGAUAACAAAUGAAUCUAUAUCAAAUGGUGAUUUUCAAAAUUAGAAUAAAAGUCAUAUGUAAAGAUGGUGAAGAAGAACAGCUUAGAAAUAAGGCAGAAGCAAUAUCUAAAGUGGGUAAACAACUUGGUAUCACUUUUACAAUAAAUGAGGAAAACAUGAUAAAAAAAAUUCAAUUAUUAGAGGCCGAGAUAUAAAAGAAGGCCGAAACUAUGGGGUUAACUUUCUCUACCUUUUUUUUAAAUUUUUUAGGUGUACUCUGUGGUGGAUUUUCUAUGAAUGUUGUGGGCAAUUUAUUUAUAGAAUUUUGAAGGUAAUGGUUUUGCAUAAUAGGUGAUGGUGUAAGUUGAUUAAUUUUGACAUCAAUUGUGGUUGAUAAAAAUGAGAAUUGUCUUAUGGAAUGUGUUAGUAAUGGUAUUACAAUUCAAAUGGUAAAAAGGCUAAUACUUUCUUAGUCAAGUAAUUUGAAAAACUUUUAGAGUACUAUCACUUAAUCAACUGGGAUGGUUCACCUCUAUUUAGAAAUGUAAUGUACCGUCAAAAGUCUAAAAUUUUAUGUUUUUUAUUUAAUGCCUUUAAAGAAAGACAAAGUUUAUGUAAUUAGUGAAAACAAGAAUAAGAGGAUUGGUUACUUGUUACUUCUCUUGGGUUGUUUAAAACCAUGUUUUAACUUGGUAGGUGUUUGUUUCGAGCUCCAACCUAAGGGUAUUCCUAGAAAAAUAAAAAGAGAAAGAGAAUAGUUGGUGUAAAGGUAGAGGGUGUUCCCUACGUUUGCAUUCUGACGUGUAAGUUAAAGAUCAGAAUAAAAAAGAUCGAAACGAGAAAAGAAUAAGGAAUUAGAACAAGAUGGAACAUGAAAUGAUAAUACCUAGAUGUUUAUAUUUAUAAGUAAGAGGUAGGGGACUAAUGAGGGACAACAAUGACAUGAUUGAGCUGAUAUAAUACUAAAAAAGCAUGCCAAGUCGACUCAAAUAUUUGAAAUGCCACUGGUUGUUUAUUGAUAGCCUUUGAUAGGGAAAAGAUUGUAAUGCCAUUUUGAUCACUAAAUGCCCCUAACAUUUUGUCCUUUUCAUUGAGUAAUCUAAGUAUCAAACUGUUAGGUGUAUGAUAAAUUGAUUUAACAUAUAUUGGUCAGCUUAAAAGGGGUUGCCAAGGAUCUGACCUUCUUUAGGUCGAUGUCAUAAAUUUGUGAGAUCAAUGUGAAAGCAAGAAUCAAGGGGCUUUAUUUGUUAUUCUGUUCAAUUUGGGCUGUCCUAGUAUGAGUUGUCAUGGUGUAGGUCUACUCUUGCAUGUGUUCUUUAGAUUAAGUAUAUGGCUUGUUUAGAGGUUACCAGAAUGACUCUAUCUUGAAAGGCUCGAGAUGAAGAUGUGGGGGUUUGGGAAAGUUGACGGAGUUCGGUUGGCCAAUGUUAGACUUGAACAUUUUCAAGAACUCGAAUCCUUGUUUACACUCUAAAGGUGACUUAGCAAUCAGUUCACCAAACUGGUUUAACCUGAAGUCUUAUUCAGUCUAGCUGGUCUAACUAGUUUAGGUGGUUGAGAUCCCAUUUAAUGAGAGAGGUUGUUUGGACAAUAAAAUUCAAAGUAGGGAAGGUGAAAAAAUGCUCUCCAAUGGCAUCCUGACACGUGAUGCAAUCUAGGCUAUUCAUCUAAUUUAGGGUGCGGCUAUAUAAAGGGUUGUUGGGACAUUCAUUUUUCACUUUUCUAUUUUUUUACUCUUAAUUCGACCUAAACUUUCUUACUUUAAAAGCUUUCUAGCCUCUUUCGACCUUAUAGUUUUUUUUCUUUCAAUAGUUAUUUCUACUUACUGUGGUACAUAUUUUUUUCAUCAUGUAUUCUAGUGUUAGUUCUAAAGAUGCGUGGAGCUUUAUGGUAGAGCCAAGGGGAGGCCAACUUAGGCAUGAUGAUGACGAUAUAGUCUCACCAAUCAUCAAAGGUUAAGACUACAGGAAAACAACCUAUUGGCUUAAGCUGAUGUCUAACGAAAAGCAAAGAAAGAUUUGACAAGAAUGCUCGAACUUGAAGAAAAUGGGUCUUGAAUGAGGAUGAGUUGUGCACUAAGAUAGAUUUUAAUUUGGAAAAUCCAUUUUUUUCCCUUUCUCAAGUCAAUCCAUCUUCUACGAUCAACUUUUCUUUCCUUUUGAUUGUUCCCCCUUUUAAAGUUCAAUCUCAUCAACCUUCUUCCUUCUAUACUCCUUAUCCUAUAAAUGUUUAUGUUAUUUCUUCUCUUCUUCCUUAGUCAACUCAUAUUCACAUUCUUUCUUCUUUCAAUGAGUUUCUUCAUCCUUUUUAUCCAUCAAAGUUGUGGUGCUCUCCACCACUACUCCAACUAGGAAUUUUGUUCUUACUCAAGAGUCUAAGUUUUUUAAUGGUAAAAGCUUCGAUGAUGAGAAAGGUUCUAAAGAAUAAUAGACAAAGGAGAAUACCUCUACUGAGGAAGGCAAUGGUGAAGAGAAAACUUUCUCAAAACCAGAUAAGCUGGUUAAGGUUCUUGUAUAUACCUUAUUCUCCUUAGAUAUGAUCCUUAAAGAUGUGAAGAGAAACUUAAAGGGCAAAGCCAAUCCUAAAGACUGCCUAAAUAUGUAUUCAACUCAUCACAUCUAUUCUCUGAGAGUGAACUUUUGCUUUUUAAAUGAGAGAUAUAGUAUAUUAAUGUUGAACUCCUCAGAUUGAGUAACCGAUAAGCUAGAGCCUCAUCGGCUCUGGGUAUAUUAGGAUUCAAUGGUAACGAUCCAAGGUUCCCUCUUUUAUUCUUUAUUUGUUUUAAUUUUUAAUUCUUAUAAUUUAAUAAUCACCCAGCUCACCCCAAACUCAAUUUGGUACAUAGUAUAAUUUAUAAUUUUUUGUUAUUAGUUAAGUGUUCUUUUCAAUCUCCCUCUAUUUAAGGAGUUUUUUUCUAUAAAAAAAUACCUUAAUGAUAAAAUGUGGUUUUACAUCAUAGUUUAGCCCAAUAAAAAAUUAUUCAUGGACUGCUUGAGCUUAAUAAAAAAUUAAAAAUUACUCUUCCUCUACCUCUAAAAGGAAAAGGAAAAUAAGGACAGUGAGUUCGAAGUCAAGGCCUAGGAGAUAAUAAAUAAACUUUACAAUUUUGUUGAUGUGUCUAUUGCUUUUUUUGUUUUAAACCUCAUAGAUCAGGACAAAAUAAUGGAAUACACUCGCAAAGAGGAACUAGUCAUAAAUGCCUAUGAGUUGACCUCUUCCAAAGUGAUAAACAAGUCCAAGUACUAAGGUAAGUGUAAGAUAACCUUAUAAUGUCUUUAACUUAUUUGAUUUUUUUUAACUCUUAGCUUGAUUUUACAAAAAUGUCUUCCAACCUAGUAAAGGACUUCAACUUCUCCCUCUUUUCACACAAACCAAAAUUCAAAAAGGGUCAAAAUAAAAAGAUUCAGCUUAAUGCCUCCCUUGAUAGAGAAAAAUAAAGUGGUAAAUCUAACACUGAAUAAGUAAGUAAGCUCUUUAACUCAGCCUCCGUCAUUGCUAAAUGCAAGCAUAAAACUAUGACACAUCAGGAGAUCUCCUCAGUAGCUCUUACUUAUGUAAAGAAAUCAAGGAUCGAAGCCUUUCUUUCACCUUAGAGAAUCUUAAGUCUAAGGUUCUUAGGCCUAACUCAAAAAAAGUCUACACCAGCCUGGAAUACAUUCUUUAUGAUAACCUAUUGAAUAGUGCCAAUGUAGCAAAAAAGUUUUGUAAAGUUACAAUCCCUUCUAGCAAUGAAUGCCCUUCAGCUUAGUUCUUCCAUUGUUAUUAACUUUAUUAUUUUUCUAAGUUUGAGUUUAGCCUUUACAAUUUACCAAAAAUUGCCACCUCAGCCAAUUGAUUGCACCAUGCCUACAUGGUAAUGGCUCACAUGUUCAAGGCCAAGAAAGACCUGACUGUCUAAGGUGAAAACAUUAAAAAAAUAUAGAAGCCCUAAACAAUCUUAGGUCCAGCUUUAGCAUCUUCCAUAAAAAAGAAGUUAAGUAAAAAAAAGUAGAUGAGUAGAUAGCCAAGUUGGAAAGCAUGCACAUAAAAAAAGCUUUAGUAAAAUUCAUGAAAAAACAAGUUGAGCUAAAGUUUAGUGAAGGUCAAGCUGAAAUUCUAAGUUGAGGUCCUAACUGGAAGUUGAGAUGAAAAAAAAAAGAAAAAAUCAAGCAAAAGGCUAAAGAAGUCUGCAAGGAUUAGGUCAUCUAAGAGUUUAAAGCCCUUAAAAAAUUCACUCAGCUACAGGCAAAGUUUUCAAGAAAAAACAUAUUUAGGGCCUUUGAGAUCGCAAAAAAAAAGGUGUCAUACAAGUACAUUAUCCUCAACCUCGACCUCUUUGACAUUAACUUAAAUAACAUCAAGUUGAGGUUUCUUCCACAGCACUUCAAGAAAGAGAAAAUGACAAAGACAGAUGUAUGGAUGCCAAGCUCGAGGAUACCCUAGCAUCCGAGGUCAAUGAGGGGCCUGCUACCAUUGCUGCUAAUGUUGACAAAGAAGAAAAGCUUUAAAGGUUUUUUUUCUUUUAUUUUUUAUCCUUUUGUUAAUUUUUUGUAAAUUUUUGUUAAGUGUGAGGUUGGAUUUUUGUUGUGACCUUAGGUGAAAUCACUUUAUCAAACUUUUAUCAAUUAUAAUUUUUUGUAUAGACCUACUGACUACUAAUGGAAAAUAGAGUUUUUGUUCAAGUUUUAAUUUGAUUUUGCUUCCCUUUUACCUCUUUAAUAUUUAAGUAAAUGAGUUCAAGUUUAAGCUCAAACAAUAAUUCACUAAAUGACUUCAAUAAACUUAUCUCAGAUGACUCAAAAUAACUCAACAAAAUGUUAGCUUGAUUCAAAAUAAUUCAAAGCCUCAACUCAAUUCAAGUGAGGUUAAAAUUCAACUAAAUGUUCAAGAAUGAUUUAAAUUCACUUAAGAAUCCAUCUUAAUACAAGUCUCAGGUCGGACGACAUUAGGUUGGUUGGAGCCUGAGCUCAAGAGUUAGAACAAAUGUAAUCAUAUUUAACUUAAAGUCUUGAGUCAAACUUAGUUAGGGUUAUAUUAGGUUGAAUGUGAUCAUAUAGUGAACAUGAUCAACGUAACUUCAUUCAAGGAUUUUGGGGUAACAAGUGCAAGCUCAGUUAAGUUUGAGCUAUUUUUAAAUUAUCUGCAUUCCAUGUCCUCAAAACAGGACUACCAUUCAUGUCUUGUAAUUUAUAAGUCACAUCAUGGAUGACAUCUUUAACCAUGUAGGGCCCUUUUCAGGUCGGUGCUAACUUGCCACCUUAGUCUUCAACUCUUAAAACUUCAAUCUUCUUAAAUAAUCAGUCUUUCUUCUUAAUGUUCCUAGGUCAAACUCUCUUGUUAUAGUGGUUGGACACCAUCUGUUAGUAAGUUGCUAUUUGGUUAAAGCCAUGUCAUUUUGUUCUUAAACCAAAUCUAGGUCGACUUUUAAGGCUUAUUCAUUUUCUUUUUCUUAACUAAGUUUGACUUUCAAGCUCGAGAAAUUGAUCUUAAUAAGUACCACGACUUCUGUUCUAAAUGCUAAGUGGAUAAAAGUCUUCUUGUAGGGACUUUUGUGGUUGUCCUCAGGGCCCAUAAUACUCCAAAGAGCUCAUCAGCCCAUUUGCCAUUGGCCUUAUCCAAUUUCUUCUUAGGGCCUCUAAUAUCAUCUUAUUAGCCACCUUGACUUGGCCAUUAGAUUGAGUGUAUGCGACUGAUGUGAACCUCAAUUCUAUGUGGAGGUUAGAACACCAUUUUUGGAACAUCAAAUUUUCAAAUUGUUUGCCAUUGUUCAUUAUUAUGGACUAAGGUAGGCCUAACAUACAAACUAUGUUAUUCUAUACAAAUUUCUCGACUUGAGCUUCCAUUAUGGUAGCUAAGGCUUCAAUUUCAAGCCAUUUUGUGAAAUAAUUUAAUGCUACAAAAAAAAACUCCUCUGCCUUCUGGUUGGGGUAAAUGUUCUAAGGACGUCCAUCCUCUACUACAUGAAAGGCAAAGGGCUGAUGAUAGUAGUGAGUUCGGUUAAUGAAAGAUGUUGUACAUAGGUGAAUAUCUAGCAUUUGUCACAUUUAUUCACUACGUAAGUCAUAUCCUUUUUUAUGGUGGGCUAAUAGUACCCCCUACAUAAAUACCUUAUAAGCCACUGAUCAAGGUUUUAAGUGAUUUCCACAUAUCUUUCCAUGAAUUUCCCUUAUGACAUAGUUUGUUUCCUCAUCAUCCAUGAAUUUUAGAUAUUUUAUAUAGCUUUUCAUUGAUCAUGGUAUACUAAAAAAUUUUCUUUAUCAAAGCUUUAGCUCAAACUUUGUCUUUAGGCAACUCUUUCAUGGUUAGAUAUGCCUAGAUCGAGGUCAUCCAAGUUUUAUUUUUCCUUAAUUUGUCUUACUAGUUUCUAUUCAAUGCUUUUUAAUGCAAAUUCUUUCACUAGUACUUAACUUGAAUUUUUCAUUAUCAUCUUUACAGCUAGCUUAGACAAAGAGUUUGCAAGUGAAAUUUUUGACCUUAAUAUCUUUCUGACCUCUAUUUUAUGGAAAACAAUGACAAAGGCCAGUGUUUUGUCUAAGUAUUUUUGAAUUCCUUAUUCCUUAGCUCUUAACUUAUUAUUUAUUUGACCGAUCACUAAUUGAAUUCCUUUUCUCGAAUCUACAUCCUCGAAUCUACAUCGAACUAAUGGCCUAGUUGGUGAUGGCCAAAUAAAAAUACAAUACCUCGUUGGGCCUUAGCUUGGAAAGGAUGGAUGGAGAGGAUAAGAACUCUUUAAAUUCAUCAAAAGCUUUUGGACAUUAGAAGGUCCAUCUGAAAUCGAAAAUAUUUUUGAAUAUCUUGAAAAAUGGCAAGUAUCACUCUGCCAACCUAGACAUAAACCUGCUUAGAGUGACUAUUCUUCUAGUUAGCCUUUAUGCUUCCUUUACUGAGGUCUAUGCUUUCGUGUUUAAGAUGGCUUGAACUUUUUUUGGGUUCUCUUUUAUCCUCUUUUUAUUGAUCAUAUACUUGAAAAACUUGUCCAAUGUAACUCCAAAGGCACACUUGCUUGGAUUAAGCCUCAUGUUAUACUUUUUUAGUGAAUUUAAGGUCUUCUCUAGGUCUUUUAAGUACUCGAUUAGGCUUUUACUAUUUACUAUGAUGUCAUCCACAUAUACUUUCAUGUUCUAUCUAAUUUGCUUAUUGAAAACCUUAUUGACCAAUCUUUGAUAGGUCACUCAUGCAUUCUUUAUACCAAAUGGCAUGAUCUUGUAACAAUAAAGGCUUUUCUCGAUAAUGAAGGUAAUUUUUUCCUAUUCUUCUUUCAACAUAUUAAUUUAAUUACAGUAAAAGUAAAGAUCCAUGAAACUAAAAAAGCCAUGCUCAAUAUUAUCAUUCACUAGCUGGUCUAUGCUAAGAGUGAAAAACUAUCAUUAGAGCAAGCUUUAUUAAAGUCGGUAAAGUCAAUGCUCAUCUUUUAUUUUUUACUGUGCUUCUUGACCAUGAUCGUAUUACCUAUCUAUUUAGGGUAAUAAACUUCAUUGAUGAAACUUGCUUGUAAUAGCUUACUGAUGUUCUCUUUAAUAACAUUUUAACUUUUUGAAGCAAAAGUUUUUUUCUUUUGUUGAACUGAUUUCAUGUUUGAAUUGGAAUGCAAGUUAUGGACCAUUACCUCGAUAUCAAUUUGGGGCAUGUCAAAUGGUGUCCAAGCAAACAAGUGAGCAUUAUUUCUCAAAAGUUGAAUUAAUUGCUCUUUACGUUCAAGUUUAAUUCCAAUUUGCAUUUUAGAGGUGUUUUCCCAUAAUGGUAUGGACAUAAAGUCUUCUACUGGUUUAGGUCGGUUCUUAUCUACCUCAAGUCUUUGUUCAAUUAUUUCUUUUUACUCAAUUAGGUCAAAACCGUUUCUUGCAGAGACAGAUCCCAAUAUGGCAAUUAGUAUGUUAUUAGUAAGUAAAAUGAUGAGUAAUGAGAAUAUAGAGCUGAACAAUAUGUAUGUAUUUUUAUUUUAAUUUUUUUUAUCGAUGUCUUAGCUCGGUCCUAUUAACAUGUGAAUGUUCCUACUAACUUAAAAGCUCAAUCACUUUUAAAAUCUAUUUUAAAAUUACAAAAAUGAUUGAAACUAUAGUUUCUAUUGGUGUGGAACUUAAAAGCUUAAAGGGUCUUAAAAGUGCACUUUUUUCAGGUUAGUUUUUUAUUGUUAUGUUUGCUUACUUUUGCUUUCUUAUUUUUUUUCAAUUUUUAUUACUUCUUUCUCUUUUUUAACUUUUUUGCCUUAAUCAAAUUGUCAUUCUGCUUCCCAGUCCUUCUCUUCAUUGUUGUAACGUAACAUUGUUGUGCUAUAAAUUGGUCUUUCCUCUUCUUCUAACCUCGUGUGAUGUUAGAAAUUUUACUUUCAAAUGGAGAGCUAAGCUUAUAAGUCACAUAACAAAUAAAUUAGGUUGGUCUAAUAUCAUAUUAUAGGCAGAUGAGACAUUUAUGACCAUGAAUUUUAUGAUCAAUGUAAUUGUCUUUGGUUUUAUCCGCAAAGAGAUCAAUAAUUUAAUAAUUCCUUUAACUAGUACCUAUUCAUUUUUAAAUUCGAUUAGAGUCGUGGUGAUCAAUUAUAGCUAAUCUUCGUUGAUUUUCAUCUUUUUCAUAAUCGCAUGAUACAUGACAUCAAUUGAGCUUUCAUUAUCAAAUAAGAUCCUCUCGACCACAUAGUUGUACACCACAAUUGUGAUCACUAGAGCAUCAUCAUAGGGGUAUUGGAUUCUUUCCAAAUCUUUCAAACUAAAUGAGAUCGGUUCAUCUUUUCAAUCUUUUUAUUUCUUUAUUAAAGAACUAAUAACCAUAAGCAUGCCUUAGUUAAACUUCUUUUCGAUCAAAGUAGAGCUUCCCCUAGUGAUCAUGUUGAUUACCCCAAUAAUUAGUUUAUUAUUAGUAACUCAACCUUCCUCCUAUCUUUGUUUUUCCUUUCAAACUUUUCUUUUUCUAUUUUCCUCUAUCCUACCUCUCCUAUCCCUUAUGAGUUCUCUUCGAUCUCUUUUGUAGUCUAGCCUAUUUUUUCUUUGUCUUCAUCGAUACAUAAACUUCCCUAGUUGACCUUUUUGAUCAGAGCUUUAAUUUUAUUUUUUAAGUUAAUGCAAUCCUCAGUGUUGUGGCUUAUCUUUCUAUGGACAUUUCAUUUUUUGGUCAGAUCCUUCCUUGUGUUUUGUUUUAGUGGCUUCAGCCAUUUGAGCUUUAGAUUCCUUUUAAUUUACAUUAGAAUCCUCUCUCAGAAGAUUUUCAAUGCAAUGUAGUUUCUUUCUCUAAUGGCACUUUUGACCCUAUGUCAUAUCCCUUUUAUGGGAGGGUCAUAAAAAUCUUUACCUUUUUUUUACAAUUGAAGAGUGAGAAUAAGUCUUUCUCACCUUAGUCACCAAAAGAGAGGGAUGAGCCUCUCUCAACUCGAUUGUUUCUCAUUGUAUUUUCAGUAUUUAUGUAUUUUUUGACCACAAGUAGGACAUCGACUAGCAUAUUGGGUGGCUCUAAAGAUAAGGUUACCUUAAGUUAGUAUUUUUUAUCAUUAAGUUCACUUGUUAGAGCAGCUACAAUGAUCUUUUGCUCAAGGUCUUUUACCUAUGAAGUUUUCGGUCUUAAAAUGCAUAAUACAAUCUUUUAGAGAUUCAUUUCUGCCUUAAUGAAUUGACAUCAUGCUCAAAAUCAUUUGUUUAUUCUCCGACUGUAUAUAAAAUAAAACAAGAAAGAGUGGCUAAACUCUUUAAUUAUCGUGAUUAACCUCAACUUUAAGCUACUAUACCAAGAUCGAGUUUUGCCUUUGAGGGCGGUAGCUAGACUCUUACAAAUCAAAGCUUCAUAUACAUCCUGCAUCAUCACAUUAGUUUUAUAAAGCUUAAAAUGAUCAAAAGGGUUAGAUGUACAAUCACAAGUUUCUAAGGUCGGCAUGUUAAAUCCUUUUAGAGGCAUAUCUCUAUCAAUCUCUUCAGUGAAAGAUGAGAUCUCUAGGAACUUGAGCUCGUCCUCAAAGGCUACUACCAUCCCCUUUAGCUCUUUUCUAUAGCUUACAACUAAGCUUUCAGGUCUCUAUUCAGUUAGGGUUCUAGGUCAAUUUGUUUUGAUUUUUGGGUUAUUACUUAUGCUGAUUUAUGGCUAGGGUAAUGGUAGACUAUUAGAACAUCAUGUUCUUCUUCUUUGAGGUCGAAUAAGCUUUUAGCUCUUCGUAGCUUGAUUGCUUUUUUACAACUUGUAGGCUAAAAGUGACUAGGUCGAGCACUUUUGAAGCUUGGGAUAGGGUUAUAGUUUGUAGCAUUUGCUCAAAGGCUUGUAUUUGCUCGGUUAGAGCCUAGAAUUAUUUUAUGGUCCAACCAAUUUAUUGUGAAGUAGGUCUAUUUGUAUGCUAGUUCUUGUGUAUUUUUGUUUCGAUUGACAUGGUUGUUUAUCUUUUUUCCAUAGCUUUCUUCUAAAAAGGCAUGAUUUUAGGCUCAACUAAUUAAUAGAAAAACCUUACCUAGUGCGCCAAAUAUUUAUACCGAGCUUCAACCUAAGGGUAUUCCUAGAAAGACAAAAAGAGAAAAAAAACAGAUGGGUGCAAAGGUAAGGAAUAUUCUCGACAUUUAUACUCCAACGCACAAGUCAAAGAUUAGAAUAAUGGAGAUCAAAAUAAGAGAAGAAUAGGGAAUUAAAACAAAAUGGAACUUGGAAUGAUAAUACCUAGAUAUUCAUAUUUAUAGGUAAGAGGCAAGGGACUAAUAGGAGACAACAAUGACGUGAUUAAGCUAAUAUGGCAGUAAACAUGUCAAGUUGACUUGACAUAUCAUAUCAACUUAAAUGUCUAAAAUGCCUUUGAUUGUCUAUUGACAGUUUUUGAUAAAAGAAAGAAUCGUAAUGCCCUUUUAACCACUAAAUGCCCUAACAAUAGGGUUUGACAUGGAUAACACCUAAUCAUGUUGAGGCUUUGCUAAGGCAAUGUAAGAUGGCUCCAUUUAGUAGACUCAUGAAAAAGGGAUGGCUAUUGGUGUGUAGAGCCAUCCUACGAGUUUUAUGGCUAAAAAAGAAUUAGUCAUUUUUUAAAGUAAGGACAAGGAUGAUGAGGAAUUUUUUCUAUUAAAUUGAGAGCAUUAUUUUAGAUGAGUGUACUAGAAAAAAGUGUCUUGAUUAGCGAAACACAAACCUAGCCUUGUUGGGUGUGGAGUUAUGUUUAGAAAUGCUUAAGUGGAUAGUCAUGGAUUAUUUUAUAGACCCUUAAGUGAAAAAAAAUCAAAUAUUGUUAAGAUAUUAGCAAUACAAAUAGCUGUUAAGGUGUUCUCAGCAUCCUCUUAAGUGAAAAAGAAUGCUUUAAUUAUUGAGUCUAAUUCUAUGGUGGCUUUUAGUUGGAUUUGUAAUUGUGAAUCUCAGCAUUAAAAUUAUGAAAAAUUUUGAGGUAUGAAAAUUUUUGAAGAGAUAGAUAAGCUCCAAGAAGAUAGUGGAAUGGUGAAUUUUUGUUCAUACUUAUAAGGGAAUAAUUUUUGACAAAAAUAGAUUAGAGAUUUCUAAUUCCUUUUCAUGCUUGGAUGUAGUGAAAACAUAUGAUAAUGAUUUUGUACUGUAAGCUAGGGUUCUUUGGUGUGAUUUUGUUAGACUUUGUUUCUACAAAAAUGUGUUGGAUAGUUAAACUUUCUUCUAUAUAUCAAUAUAACUUAUUUUGGCUGAGAAAGAAAAAUAUUCAUUUUUAAAAACCAUUUAACCAAAUAUUUUCAAUAAAAAAAAAGUGUUAAAAACUUUAAGUAGUUUUUAUUAGACCUAUUCAUGGGCCAAGCAGUGUACCUGAAACCGAAAGCCUAUCUAAAAUUUUGAAGGAUUUAGAUACGCAUAUUAAAUCUGUUAAAUAGGCCUGGAUAAAUAAAUAAGAUCUGAUAAAAAAAAAGGCCAAGCUUAGGUUUCACUAUUUAAGGUCUAGGCUCAACCCGGCCCGAAAAGUAAAGAAUAUAUUUUAUAUAAUAAUGAGACAAAACCCAUUUACUUUAUUCUUUAUAAUGGAUAAGGCCUAUUUGCUUUAUUACUUAUAAUAUGAUAAAAUACAUUUUUUUCUUUAUACAAAACAAUGAUUCAAUUUUAAAUUACAUUCAAUAAAAUUAAAUUAGACUUAAGCCCAAAUGACUCAUAAAUUUAAUUAAAAUUAAUUAAAUCAAUUAAAUUAAUAAUUUUAAAAAAUUUUAAAACUAUUUUUUUUAAUUUUAAAUACUAGUACUUUGGGCGAGUUUGGACCUUAUUAUUACAUAUAAGCAUGGAUUUGGGCAAAAAAUGAAGCCCAAAAAAUGGGGCUAGAUCAAACUUGAACUUGCUUAAAAUGCUAAAAUAUAAUACCUAAUCUAAUCUAAACUCGACUCGGCCCAUAAAUAGAUCUAGUUUUUAUCUACUUAAAUAUAUUCAACCAAUCUCAAUAUUUAAAGAAAAAUAAGUUAUUUAAUUACAGUACUAUUCUUAUAUUCUUUAUUUUUAAUCAUUUAUUUUGUCGUCGAUGCAAAAUAUUUAUAAAAUCAAAUUUCUUCUACAAAAGAAUUAAUAAAAAAAUCUACCUUUUAAUAGUCACUAGCAUACCAAGCAAUCCUUAUAUCAUUAAUUCAUUACUUAAAAUUUUCAAAACUAAAAAUUUAAUUCUUAAUUUUUCAAUAUUGAAAACUUUCAAUUCAUUAAACAGUUUUAGUGUCCACUUGAUUUGUGACUUUAGCUCAAUAAUUGGUUUUAAAUAUAACUAGCCAUAUGCACACCCACUAUAUGAGUGGAAUAAAUAAAAAUUUUUAUUAUUUAGAUAAAUAUUACAAGAAUAUAAAAAACAAAAACCUUUAUAGUUUUCUUAAAAUUAUAAAAAAAAAGAAAGAAAAAAUGGAAAACCUUUAUAGCUACCUUAAAAAUAUAAAAAAACAAAAUAGUAACUAAUAAUACAACUUUUUGAAGUAGAGCAAAAGAAAGUAGAAGGGUUUUAAAAUGCAGAUCUAUGCUUUACUUUCAAUAAAUAUAUUUUUUAUUUUACAGUUUUUUUGGUCAAUCUCUAAUUAAACUGAAUUAGUAUCAUUUGACUCAAUUAGAGACUUUAUAAAUAGAUUAUAUAAAUAGUACUUACAAUUUAAUUAAGCAAAGCUUGUUAUAUCUUUCCUCUUAACUUCUCCAUUAUUGAUUAAAAUCAUAUGUUAUAGUAAUCGUUCACUAGUCGUGGUCCCGCAUAAGUUUUAUUUUGUGAAAUAAACAAUUUUAAAGGCUUUACUUCCUUUUAUAAGAAAACCGGUCUAUAAAUUGGAAACUUAGUGGGAAAAAAACAUAUAUGGAGAGAGCUAUAUAAUAUACUAUAUACCUGACAAGCUAUUAGAGGAAAAAUCAAGGAGCCGAAGAAAUGUCAAGUUCCAAAUACUUGAGGGGAUCGGCCCUUCUAAGUUGUUUUCUGACAAGCCAAGACCCUCUAAAUUUAGAAGAGAACCAAUUUGUCCAGGGAUUCUACCUGAAAAACUUAUUAAAUAACCAAUUGACUUAAUAAACUUAAUAGCUAGUUUUCCAUUAAAAAAAAUCUUAAUAGUCAAUGAUACAAGCCUAACUAAUAAUAUUUGAAAUUUCAACUUGAAAAUCUCGAAUUCGAACUUUGUGACAGGGAAGUAUGUACCUGACAAGCCGUUAUUUGAAAAAUUAAGGUGCUUAAGAAGUGUCAAGUUCCCAAUACUUGAAGGAAUAGGCCCUUCUAUAUUGUUGUUUUCCAAGCUAAGCCUCUGUAAAUUUAGAAGAUUACCAAUCUGCCAUGGGAUUUCACCUGCAAAUGUAGGAGAUCACAACAUUUGCUAUUGUGUAAUUCAAUCAUCAAAUAAAUACUUUUACUUUCUUUUUCAUUUUUUUCCCUUCCUACCAAAAGGAAAAUAAAGUUCAGAAAGAAAAAACAUGGAUGAAGUAUAUAUGGUUUGUGUUCAUAUUUACCUUUGAGAUUGUUUACACCGAGUCGCAAUAUCGUAAGCUUAAUCAAAUUCCCAAUUUCCUUUGGCAAACUUCCCUCAAAAUGAUUACGAGAUAAGGACAAUACCAUUAACUCUUUGCACUUGAAUAAACUAGGUGGAAUUCCGCCCGAAAACAGGUUCCGACUCAAAUAAAGCUCUUGCAGAUUUGGAAGUUUAUCGAACAUAUCCCAUGAGAGAUUACCACUGAGAACAUUAACGCUUAAGUCAAUGAUUUGCAGUGAAGAAAUUUUGAGUGGAAUGGGGGGAAUCGACCCAGAGAGAUUGUUAUUGCUGAGACCCAAUAAUUGCAGUGAAGAGAUGCUGAAGAUUGAAGGAGGUAUUGAACCUGAAAGCUGGUUGUUAUCCAAAAUCAGCAUCCUCAAGGUGGAAAGAUUUCCAAUCCUCACAGGAAUCGGCCCUUGCAGUUUAUUUUUUUCCAACCACAAGAUCUCUAACCUUGGAAAAUGGCACAAAGAUGAUGGGACUACGCCCGUGCAGUUGUUUUCAUAUAGAAAUAAGCUUUGAAGUUGAGUGAAGGAAUCAAACCAUGAAGGGAUUUCCACACUGAGGUUGUUGUUGCCAAAGUUUAUGUACUUCAACCGACGCAAAUUAGCCAAUUGGAUGGGUAAUGAGCCAUGAAAACUAUUGUUCUCAAUGCUGA